AUACGGAGGGGGCUAGCGUUGUUCGGAUUUACUGGGCGUAAAGCGCGCGUAGGCGGUUUGAUAAGUCGGAUGUGAAAUCCCUGGGCUCAACCUGGGAACUGCAUUCGAAACUAUUUGACUAGAGUAUGGUAGAGGUAAGUGGAAUUCCAGGUGUAGCGGUGAAAUGCGUAGAUAUCUGGAGGAACAUCAGUGGCGAAGGCGACUUACUGGACCAAUACUGACGCUGAGGUGCGAAAGCGUGGGGAGCAAACAGGAUUAGAAACCCUGGUAGUCC
rnacentral:rRNA from 1 species